rnacentral:rRNA from 1 species
UACCAGCACCCCGAAUGGUCGGGACGAUUAUUGGGCCUAAAGCAUCCGUAGCCGGUUCUACAAGUCUUCCGUUAAAUCCACCUGCUUAACAGUUGGGCUGCAGAGGAUACUAUAGAGCUAGGAGGCGGGAGAGGCAAGCGGUACUUAGUGGGUAGGGGUAAAAUCCGUUGAUCCACUGAAGACCACCAGUGGCGAAGGCGGCUUGCCAGAACGCGCUCGACGGUGAGGGAUGAAAGCUGGGGGAGCAAACCGG